GUGGGUAGUUUGACUGGGGCGGUCUCCUCCUAAAGAGUAACGGAGGAGCACGAAGGUUGGCUAAUCCUGGUCGGACAUCAGGAGGUUAGUGCAAUGGCAUAAGCCAGCUUGACUGCGAGCGUGACGGCGCGAGCAGGUGCGAAAGCAGGUCAUAGUGAUCCGGUGGUUCUGAAUGGAAGGGCCAUCGCUCAACGGAUAAAAGGUACUCCGGGGAUAACAGGCUGAUACCGCCCAAGAGUUCAUAUCGACGGCGGUGUUUGGCACCUCGAUGUCGGCUCAUCACAUCCUGGGGCUGAAGUAGGUCCCAAGGGUAUGGCUGUUCGCCAUUUAAAGUGGUACGCGAGCUGGGUUUAGAACGUCGUGAGACAGUUCGGUCCCUAUCUGCCGUGGGC
rnacentral:rRNA from 5 species